AUGAACGCUGGCGGCGUGCCUCAUACAUGCAAGUCGAGCGAACAGACGGGGAGCUUGCUCCUCUGACGUUAGCGGCGGACGGGUGAGUAACACGUGGAUAACCUACCUAUAAGACUGGGAUAACUUCGGGAAACCGGAGCUAAUACCGGAUAAUAUAUUGAACCGCAUGGUUCAAUAGUGAAAGACGGUUUUGCUGUCACUUAUAGAUGGAUCCGCGCCGCAUUAGCUAGUUGGUAAGGUAACGGCUUACCAAGGCAACGAUGCGUAGCCGACCUGAGAGGGUGAUCGGCCACACUGGAACUGAGACACGGUCCAGACUCCUACGGGAGGCAGCAGUAGGGAAUCUUCCGCAAUGGGCGAAAGCCUGACGGAGCAACGCCGCGUGAGUGAUGAAGGUCUUCGGAUCGUAAAACUCUGUUAUUAGGGAAGAACAAAUGUGUAAGUAACUAUGCACGUCUUGACGGUACCUAAUCAGAAAGCCACGGCUAACUACGUG
rnacentral:rRNA from 1 species